AAACGUCAUCAUCGAGACUGCAUUGGACCAGACUAGUGGCAUAGAUAUGAAUGAGUUGAUAGGACACGUCCAUAGAUAUGAAUGAGUAGAUAGGACACGUCCAUAGAUAUGAAUGAGUAGAUAGGACACGUCCAUAGAUAUGAAUGAGUAGAUAGGCCACGUCCCUUUGAGCUGCGUGCUACUGCGAAGCUAAGCUAGGUGGGGGCAAAGUUUCAGUGCAUUCCGUUGAUGUAGACGGCGUGAAAACGGAAACAAGUAUGCCGUCUCACUGUGCUGCAUACAGUUACACACUGCGUCGUACGAUUGAGACAAGGAAACUUGGAAUGACUUUUCAUAGAGUGAAAGUAGCAGUUCCUCCUGAAGGUCAGAGAUUGCAGCAUCUGAGGGCCUCUUCAAAAGAAGACGUAGUUGAUGAAGGCGUUCUGGAGCAGGACCAGAAAGACCACGACCAAGCAGCCUUGAGAUCUUAGGCAGCGUCUCCCUGAGGUCCCUCUCUAUCUCCCCACACAUCCACCAACCACUGGAACACAUCUCCAAAGUUCUGCUGGGCCAGCUCAGCUUCCCCUCAGAAGAAGUGCUGCCACCUGCCAGAUGAAGGAGCCUUUUGAGAGGCAGCUGGCAUCGUGAUUGGACUGUACUUUGGUCUGUUCCAAUCCAGCUUCAGCUCCAGAGACGGCAGGUGGGACGAGUCAACGGAGGCCUGGUGGAGGAAGGCAUGCAGCUGAGUACAAUGCAGAAAACAACAGAGGAGGAGUGCAGCAGCCCAGAGCCAGAACAACCAGAGUAGCAUCGUAUGUCUCUUAGAAAACAUCAUAGUAGAGCCUCUGGUAUGAAAAAACACCAUCAUAUACAUCACAGAUUGUACAAAUAACAAGUCAAAGCAAAGAGACAUACAUUGUAGAAUUGUAGUAAUUGUGGGCUGACUGAUUUACUGAUGAUCGGUAUUUUAUUUUUUACUGAUUUACGGUAAUAAAUAAAUUUAAAAAUGGUGCUA